rnacentral:rRNA from 1 species
AUUGAACGCUGGCGGAAUGCUUUACACAUGCAAGUCGAACGGCAGCACGGACUUCGGUCUGGUGGCGAGUGGCGAACGGGUGAGUAAUGUAUCGGAACGUGCCCAGUCGUGGGGGAUAACGUUGUGAAAAUUACGCUAAUACCGCAUACGAACUAUGGAUGAAAGCGGGGGAUCGCAAGACCCCGCGCUAUUGGAGCGGCCGAUAUCAGAUUAGGUAGUUGGUGGGGUAAAGGCCCACAAAGCCAACGAUCUGUAGCUGGUCUGAGAGGACGACCAGCCACACUGGAACUGAGACACGGUCCAGACUCCUACGGGAGGCAGCAGUGGGGAAUUUUGGACAAUGGGCGAAAGCCUGAUCCAGCCAUUCCGCGUGCAGGAUGAAGGCCCUCGGGUUGUAAACUGCUUUUGUACAGAACGAAAAGGUUUGUACUAAUACUAGGAGCUCAUGACGGUACUGUAAGAAUAAGCACCGGCUAACUACGUGCCAGCCGCCGCCGUAA